rnacentral:rRNA from 1 species
GGACCCGCACAAGUAGUGGAGCAUGUGGUUUAAUUCGAAGAUACGCGCAGAACCUUACCAACACUUGACAUGUUCGUCGCGACUUUAAGAGAUUAGAGUUUUCGGUUCGGCCGGACGAAACACAGGUGCUGCAUGGCUGUCGUCAGCUCGUGUCGUGAGAUGUUGGGUUAAGUCCCGCAACGAGCGCAACCCUCACUUUUAGUUGCCAUCAUUAAGUUGGGCACUCUGAAAGAACUGCCAGUGAUAAGCUGGAGGAAGGUGGGGAUGACGUCAAGUCCUCAUGGCCCUUACGUGUUGGGCUACACACGUGCUACAAUGGUAUCUACAACAGGAAGCAAAACUGCGAGGUUAAGCAAAUCCUUAAAAGAUACCUCAGUUCGGAUUGCACUCUGCAACUCGAGUGCAUGAAGCUGGAAUUACUAGUAAUCGUGGAUC